GGUCGCCUCCUGAUGGAUACUGAAAAGUCCAGCGGAGAAGAGCCAAGAGGAGGAACGCAUCACUUCGUACGAAAGAGGACCAAGGGAGGGGAGAGGCUCAUUCAUUGGGGCGCAUACGCCCCCGCAAACAUAAAUAUAGAUCGUUUCGGAGAAUCUUCAAUUGUCGGAAGACGACUUUUCGUUGCAGAUUUAUUCGAAAAAACGUAUCCAGUGGAUGUUGGGGCCUUUGGUGGAAUCAGCCCAGCCGAUGGGGCUUUCAGCGUAUUGUGCUGUUCGUACUGGUUUUCAUAACGAUCGCUUGGAUUCCUAUUGUUUCGAUGGUGAUACCCCAUCUACACCGAGUAAUUAAUAAGCCAUACUGGUAUGCUGUAGUGGAUUAUGU